GAAACAAUAAAAACGAAUAAUAAUUAAAUUUUAGGAAUGAUGAAAAAUAAUAAUUUUUAUCAAAAUUAAUAAAGAAUUGAUUUGUUUUAUAAUUCUCUACAAACAAAUGAAUAAAAAGAAAAAUAUAUUCUUCAUGAAUAUUAAAAAAAUUAAUAAAUGUUAAGAAAUAUAGUGUUCUUCCUCAUUCCCUUGGUCACUCACAUUUAUAUAUUUUUGCAUUCACUUUGAAUUAUAUAACUGAUGCAAAUUUGAAUCACUUAGAACAAUUACUGUUCUUUUAAAUGUAGUUUUUUUAUCUAAUAGAAAUCAUAUAACUAGUUUUUUCGUUUCACUAAAUCACUAAUUUUUUAUAAAUAAAAAAUUUAUAUAAAAAUAUUCAAAUUGUUAGGAAAAAGUAUUAGCUUUUUAAUGCGAUAAAAAUUACAACUGUAU